AACGCACUUGGCACUCGGUGGGCCUUCCACCGAGUAUACCUGUUUGAGCAUCAUAAACACAAAUAGUACCCUCCUGUGGGAGGGUGGUGAUUUGGGCCUUAGCUGCGUCGCGGCUAUUGCCUCAAAGGGAUUAGUGCGGGUUGUGGCGAGCGUCACGACUCCUUGUUUGGUAGCAAGGCUGUGGUCUUGACAGAGCAAGGGGCCGUUGAAGGCAGCCGCGGCAUUAACCGUGCUUUUGGCGUCAGGGAAGCAGGCAGCGGUGCGUGCACCGUGGGCAGCGCCCGGACACACCUGCCUACACGGCACAUCACACAUGAUCUCAAAUCAGGCAAGACUACCCGCUGAACUUAA
rnacentral:misc_RNA from 1 species